CCCGAACAAAAAUGGCAAGUCACAAUCAGCAACUUCAAAACAUCCAUCGGCUUCAUUUACUAUUCGACAUUUCUCAUGGAAUCAAAAGCAAAAUCAAGUAAGUCGAGUAGUUCAAGGGAAUCGGAGCUCAAACGCACAACAUCAAGCCCGACCAAAGCCACCAUCAACGAAGCAAUCAACGGUUGAUCUAAAGUCAAAACAAGCCAUGCCAAACGUCGACAAGUCGAGAAAACCAAAGAUCCGACAAGUUUGGAUCCGGAAAGGUGAUAUCUUUCCUUGCUUCUCAUCUUAGUUGUUUUUGAAUUCUUGUGUAGUGCAUUGAUAGGUGCUUGUUGCAUAAUUUUAUUCAUUGCAUUACAUAUUUAAAUGUUUUUUUUGGUGCUUUGAAUUUUGUUUAUUUAAAAAUCAUUUUGAGGAAAAGGUGUUUAGGAAUUCAAAAUUUUCGAGAAAAUAGAUGAUUGAGAUCCAUGAUUUUGGAGAGAGAAAUUUUUUUAAAGUUGUUUAAACGGUGUUUAUCUUUACAAUCAUAUUAAGUUAAAUUCAUAUUAAUUAUCGUGUUUACUCCACUAUUUAUUAUUUUGACGAUAAUUUAUUAUAUGAUUUCUUAUUGCAUAUAUUCAUCAAAAUUUUGGAAUCAAAUUUGAUCUCUUGGUGAUUAAUUUAUUUUGGUUGUGAGUGUUGGAUAUGAUGAAUGGAUAUUUUCUAAUUGACUAAAAUUUGUCAAAAUUAUUUUCAAUUGUGAGAUUGUCUAAUUUAGGGAGAGUUUGAAAUUAUUUUUUUAAAAAAAGGGAAACUCCUAUGUUUAAAAGAUGUGGAAAGAGUUACAUCCAAAAGGAGUGUGAAAACUACCACCACAUGUAGGAAAGAGCUACCACCCCGGUCGUCCGGCAAGUGUGUGAAGCUACCACAUGGAGAUUAAUUGAAAAGCCGAAAAGGUUGAAAAAAAUAAUAAUUUUAAAAUUUUCGGAGUAAUAAGGUGCUAGUUUGAAAAAGAUGCUCAAAGAGCCACCCCCGGUAUCAUAUUGGUUAGAUCUCUAUUUUGAACGUGUUACGAUAAAUUGGUGUCAAUUUUGUUGAAUUUCUAAAAAUCAUUUUUCAUCAACUCACAUCUUGAUAAUUUUGAAACUUGAAAUCAGUUUUGAUUAUGAAAUUUUUGAUGUUUGGAUGUUUUUUGAAAUUUUAUAAUAUAUUAAUUUCAUCAUAAUAAUUUUUGGAGUAAAAACCUUAAUUUAUAUGAAAUUAAUUUAAUUUGAUGGAUUUUUAAAGGAAAAUUUUUGAAAUCAAGGAUCGUGUACCGGUACAGGAUCGUGUACCGGUACGGGUACUGUAGCCGCGGAUGUAUAUCCGGUUACAGAGCUAGUGUUCUCUCUCAAAUCUGAAUCAAACUUUGUUUUCUCUCUCUCUAAAAAUCCCUGGUGCCUUCCUCUUGCAGAUCUACAUGUUUUCCCUCAGAAAUUUGUGAGUAUUUAGCUUGGAUUUAAUCGUUUCAUCGCGUUCAUGUUUAUUUUUCGAAAUAUUCCGAGUUGAAGCUAGAUCUCUAUUUUUGAUCGUUUUUGAUGCAAUUUUUUGCUGUAGAUCAGUGCUUAAUUAUAUUAUCUUGCUUCUAGAACACUUGAAUCACAUCAAAACACAUUAUUUUUCGCUGAUCUAAGAUUUAUGCUCUAAUAUGCAUGUAAUUUCGGGAUUUUUCAAAAAGUUCGAUUUUUGCUGAAAUUUUUUGCAUAAUUUGGUUAGAAAUAGCAUUUGUAUGCAUUCUAAUAUAUUUAGAAAUUUUUUUUGCUAUUUUUACAGAUUUUUCAAAAAUUUUGUUCAUGUAUGUAAUUUUUGAUAUAGGAAAAUGGCGUUUUUGCUUGUACUGGUGCUUUUGGUGCUAAUGGCUGGGAGACGGAGCCGUGGUGGUGGUAGAGGUCGUCAUGGGGCUUCUAAAAGGACUCGUAGAACUGAAGAAGCGUCCGGGUCUGAUUCGGAUUAUCAGGAAAGCUCCUCUGAAGAUGCAGAAGAACCUAUUGUUGCUCUUGAUAAGGGCAAAGGAAUAGCUAGCGAAUCCUCACAUGGCGGUGGUUCUCGUGCAAGAGAAACUCGGUCAAAGCAUGCUGCGGAUGUUCCUCCUGAGCGACGGAAGAUGUACAUGAGCAAGUCUUGCAUUGCGGAGCGUUAUGUCAACUUCAACGAUCUUAUUCAUGACGUUCCUGACUUUGGCUGGUUACUUCAGCGGGUUCCUAUUGAGCCGGUUGGCAGAGUCCCUGCUCGCGCUCUUUUUUGUGUGGAACUCAUUCGUGAGUUCUAUAUGAACGGAAAGGUACUUGCAGAAGAUGAGGAGACCGGGACAUUCCUCUUUGAGACAUUCGUGCGUCAACAGNUGUUUUUGAAUUCUUGUGUAGUGCAUUGAUAGGUGCUUGUUGCAUAAUUUUAUU
rnacentral:lncRNA from 1 species